AAUUAAGACUUAAUUCAAUUAAUUGAUUAAUUUUAAUUGCAUUUUCUUGUUUAAGAACACAUUUGAUUUGUUUCAUCCUGGAUCUCCAUCAGCGGGUCUCAGGCUGUGGAGGUCCAUCCAGAAGAAAUCAUGCUGCAGCGCUCCAUCGUCCACUUCUUAACAAUCUGGUUCACUCAUCCAGCUGGAUCAGAGUCAUGUUUACAACUGACAAAAGUGCUGCAUGCUGCGAAGGAUUUCAGAGUGGAUCAUCGGAAAUGACUUUCAGCAUCUCAACCAUCUUCUUCCUAACCAAACAUGUGGAUGUAUUUGGCUCUGGAAUGUAUUUCUAUGGAUUUAAUGCAGAUGUAUAUCCAGGUUUUAGAAUGAUACACUUAAAAAAAUAAAGAUCCAAUCUUUGUUUGUUGGAGGAGGCUGGAACAAUCACAACAGUCUAUCCUGAUUCUCUUAUAAUGAGAGUUAGAUGAAGUUCUGGACGUCAAUCUGAGCUCAACCACCUUAAGGCCACAGCUGCCAUAGGGACAGAAGCAGGGUACACCCUGAAAAGGUUACAAGUCCAUCACAUAACCAGACAAUCAUCAUUCCUCCAUGCUGUGAAAAAGUAUUUUCUCCAGGCCAUCGCACUACCGCCACCAUGUUUGACUGCUGGUGCUGUGUUUUUGUCUAUGUUAAUUUAGCUGUGCCAGGGCCCUGUUCCGAUUGGUGCGUGGACUUACUGCCCCGGCGUGAUUGGAUCCAGCUGGAGGACCCGCCCAAUAAAAGGAGGCUGGAGUGCUACAGCGGGAGAGGUCCUCGCAUUUCUCCUCAUCACCCAGCAGUAGUCCUGUGGUAGCCGCUGGCUGCAGUAUACGCGCG
ensembl:lncRNA